UGCCAUCUUUUUUAUGAUCCACAAUAUGGAAAGAAAGAGAGAAUGAAAGAAUGAAAGGAAAGAAGGGGGGAAAGAAAACAAUCCUUCAGUUAGAAAGGUAGCACAGCAGGGGCAAAGCUGAGAUUAGACACUACAGGCAGCCAUGUGGUUUCGAUCUGGCCUGGUAUUUCAAGAUGCAGGCGAAUUCAUUGUCUCUGGCGCAUGUUCCGAAUAAAUCAUACUUACUCGUUGUGUA